AUUGAACGCUGGCGGCAGGCCUAACACAUGCAAGUCGAGCGGAUGAAGGGAGCUUGCUCCUGGAUUCAGCGGCGGACGGGUGAGUAAGGCCAGGGAAUCUGCCGGGAGGGGGGGGAAACGGUCGGGAACGGGGCGCAAAUACCCCUUCCGCCCUGGGGGGGAAGGUGGGGGACCUUCGACCCCACCGCUACCAGAUAGGCCUAGGUCGGAUUAGCUAGUUGGUGGGGUAAAGGCCUACCAAGGCGACGAUCCGUAACUGGUCUGAGAGGAUGAUCAGUCACACUGGAACUGAGACACGGUCCAGACUCCUACGGGAGGCAGCAGUGGGGAAUAUUGGACAAUGGGCGAAAGCCUGAUCCAGCCGUGCCGCGUGUGUGAAGAAGGUCUUCGGAUUGUAAAGCACUUUAAGUUGGGAGGAAGGGCAGUAAGUUAAUACCUUGCUGUUUUGACGUUACCAACAGAAUAAGCACCGGCUAACUUCGUG
rnacentral:rRNA from 1 species